rnacentral:rRNA from 1 species
AUUGAACGCUGGCGGCAGGCCUAACACAUGCAAGUCGAACGGUAACAGGAAGAAGCUUGCUUCUUUGCUGACGAGUGGCGGACGGGUGAGUAAUGUCUGGGAAACUGCCUGAUGGAGGGGGAUAACUACUGGAAACGGUAGCUAAUACCGCAUAACGUCGCAAGACCAAUGAGGGGGACCUUCGGGCCUCUUGCCAUCGGAUGUGCCCAGAUGGGAUUAGCUAGUAGGUGGGGUAACGGCUCACCUAGGCGACGAUCCCUAGCUGGUCUGAGAGGAUGACCAGCCACACUGGAACUGAGACACGGUCCAGACUCCUACGGGAGGCAGCAGUGGGGAAUAUUGCACAAUGGGCGCAAGCCUGAUGCAGCCAUGCCGCGUGUAUGAAGAAGGCCUUCGGGUUGUAAAGUACUUUCAGCGGGGAGGAAGGGAGUAAAGUUAAUACCUUUGCUCAUUGACGUUACCCGCAGAAGAAGCACCGGCUAACUCCGUG